rnacentral:rRNA from 1 species
GACAGCCAGGAUGUUGGCUUAGAAGCAGCCAUCAUUUAAAGAAAGCGUAAUAGCUCACUGGUCGAGUCGGCCUGCGCGGAAGAUGUAACGGGGCUAAACCAUGCACCGAAGCUGCGGCAGCGACGCUGAUGCGUUGUUGGGUAGGGGAGCGUUCUGUAAGCCUGUGAAGGUGUGUCGUGAGGGAUGCUGGAGGUAUCAGAAGAGGGAACGGGGACA